rnacentral:rRNA from 1 species
UACGAAGGGGGCGAGCGUUGUUCGGAUUUACUGGGCGUAAAGGGCGCGCAGGCGGCUUUGUUUGUCAGGCGUGAAAGCCCCGGGCUUAACCUGGGAACUGCGUUUGUGACUGCAUCGCUGGAGUGCGGCAGAGGGGGAUGGAAUUCCGCGUGUAGCAGUGAAAUGCGUAGAUAUGCGGAGGAACACCGAUGGCGAAGGCAAUCCCCUGGGCCUGCACUGACGCUCAUGCACGAAAGCGUGGGGAGCAAACAGG